UUAAAGAGCUCUAAAAAAAAAUAACUGCUCAGUACAAGUGCUUCUUAAGUGAAAUGCAAUCGUGAAAAUGCAUUGGAAAUUCAGAUGUGAAGCUGCGUUGAGAACAUAUUCCCACCAUGGAGAGACACAGAAUAUGCUGGACACCACCAGCCUUAGAGAUGCCAUCAGUACUUUCACAGGUCUUCUGUUACGCUCAGUAUGGAAAUGAAGGAUUCAGCCUGCAUGAUUACUGUAUGGAAACUGAGCUGAUGCAUUCACUGGAGAAACUGAAGCUUGAAAACUUCAGCAGACAAACAGCCUCUAUGUCUCCUAAAUAAACUCUCCCCAUUCAAGAAUUCAGCAGGGCAUUUUUCCAUGAUAAGCAUCUCCCAUGUUCCUGAGGUGCUCAGGAUCCCACAGAGGUAUUACUAGGACAGCCCAUUUUGUGUGAUUGGUAUCAAGGACUGAUGAAAGCAGAACCAUCUAGAUCCUUGAAGCGCUACCAAAGCUGUCAGCAUUCUCCAGAUCCUGAGUCUUGUUAAGAGGAACAGCUGAGAAGAUAAUUUACAGCCACCUGAUACUCUGUUUGCUAGAGUUCUGGCCACAGCUACUUACUGUUAAUUAAUCGCUGUUCUACAAGGAUAAUCUAUAUUCUACAGUUUUCCCUUCAAAGGAUUCUCCCUUGGCCCAAAUACUGACAGUAACGUCUUGAGAAAAUACUCAGAAGAAAAUCUGGGUGCUGUGAAGGAGCAGAGCAGGGGGGGUGACAAAGCUAACUGCAUCAUUCCCUGGCAGCUCAUAUGAGCUUUUGGAAAGGCUGACGUCAGGCGUGGUAUAAAAGACCAACAUCAUUGACGUAAGAUAUAAACGACAAUGAAAACCCUAAUAGUGGCUUACUUUUGAACACCGACGACGUAACUACACUGUGAAGGAACAUGUUAGAGAACGGGCCGAGGCUGGGCCGAUGACAACGCACACCGCAACAAGGAGCUACGUUCAGCUGGACGCACCAGUCCAGGUCCGAAGGCAGGAUAGCCACAAUUAUUGGAUGAGGUGCCCCGAGUGAUGAGCUCUGCCCGUUCCCAUGCCAGGCCGGGUGUCUCAGUGCCGUGCGUCUGGUUCCCACCUGAGCUGGCAGGACACCGGCCAGGAUGCCUGCAGCCAGGGUGUAGCCACGGAGCCCGUGCCUGGAUAAGCACUGGCACUUUGGGUAUCCACCCGUGCAGAGCUGUGCUGAAAUAGGAGCUAAUUUCCUCCUGAAAGUGGCAGGUCAAAAUAUGCUAUGCAUAUUGCAAAGGUCUGAAAACUAAUGCCUGCACAAACUGUAAUCCAGUCCGUUUCGGUGAAGCUCACAGCAAAUCCUCUCACACCGCCAUGUGUGCUCCUUUCAUUUCCCACAGAGACACCCAGCCUUCGGAGCUGUGAGUCAGAACUUACUCUUCACCUGCGUCGGCAUCAGAAACGUUUAAUAAGCGGUGAUCGUAAGAGCCUCCGCAGCCCCACAUCAUGGCAGCAGAGCCACCGGGCACCUCCCCUGGCCGCAGUGUCCCUGCUGGUGUGCACCCCGCUGCGCCCCGUUACCCUGGGAACAGCUGACAGUGGACCCCAAGGAUGAAGGCACCAGUCCUGCCUCGCCCUUCCCAGCUGCAGCUCGCACAGAGAUGGCUAUGGAAAGGAAACCGAUUUUUUUAUCUGUGCAAAGAGAGGAACAGUCCAAAGUGGAAAGAACUGAUGCAAAAUGGACUCAGAGUCAACCUUGGUGGUUCUCAGGCUUGGCUUUCUGACUAGACGUGUACUUUAACAUCGCAUCUAAAAAUAGUAGUUUUUCAUUGGUGCCCUACAUGUAGGAAAUAAGAUGAAGCUUUCAACUGGGAAUCCUUGUGUUUGAGCUGUGGCUGAUUCUCUUCUGAGUCACUGUUUGUGAAACCCAGCUCUGACAGUGAGAAGGUACGAGACAGGCACGUUCCAGGUACCCAGGGGAGACACGACAACAGGCAAAAAGGCACAAGCUGAAACAUGGCACAUGUGAAAAAAUAGCACCAGCAGGAGCCUGGAUUUUAUUUCGGCCAGAACGCUAAAAAUAUUAAUCGUAUCACAUGCUUUGGCAACCGAAGCGCAGGUAAAUUUUUAAAACUUUUCUUAUCACAGCUGUUCUAAACUUUUAUGGUUUGUCUAGAAUGUUCAACUAAAAGGCUUAAGAAAUGUCCAUUUACAAAAAACAACCCCAAAACAAAGAUCUGCUGAUGCUUUGGGGUAAGAAAUUUUUAAUCACAAAAGAAACCCAAUAUUAUUCCCCUCUUGCUAACCUUUCCUUACACUUUUUAUAGUCUCUCCCCUUACCUUGCCCACACCCCCCUCUCCUCCCUGCUCCUGUUCACUCGCUCAACCAAUCUUAUAUUCCACAUCCUCCUGUUGCCUCCCACUUUGGACACAUAUUCAUGAAUGCAAAUAGCAUCUUCCCAACAAACAAGUAACAGCGAAGAGGAAGAAGAGAAGUGAAGGGAAAUGUGAGAGCUCUUAAAUAAAUAAUAAUAUUUACACUCUUAUGUAAACCUUAAUUUACAGAUCUCAAGGUGCUUUGGGAAUGUAGGCAUUAUUGACUUCUUUAUUAUUCAAAGACAAUUCAAAGAUUUUUUUUUUUAAUCCAUUGUUUUCUCCCUACACAAUUUGUUAACCCUUGGCUUACAUGGGACAUAGUGUUGCCAGUAGCAGGAUGAGCAAGUAUAAUUACUGGCAGCCCGCUGAGUGUGUUUACACUGAAGACAAGACUCAUCUCACAUUUCCAACCUGUCAACUUCUUCUGCACCUGCGUUGUACAGCCUGCUGGCCUCCAUGCACUGCCUACGGAGCAGCUGCUUGAGUACAACAGCCAUGCUUACUUGUUUUCUACCCAAACGACUUCUGCCUAGAAGAUGGAUUUGAGAGUGACUUGAGGAUUUCUGCAAAAGUAAAUAAUCUCACACUAACAUGCUACUCUU